AGGCAAUCGGCAGCAGACCCUCCAUCCCAGACCCUCCCACCUCCUGGACAGCAUCCAUUUUACAUUCAUUGUGAAGCUGCAUUCUUAGUGAGCUGUCCAGGAGGUGGGAGGGUCUGGGAGGGAGGGUCUGCUGCUGAUUGGCUGG